GAUGAACGCUGGCGGCGUGCCUAAUACAUGCAAGUCGAGCGAACGGACGAGAAGCUUGCUUCUCUGAUGUUAGCGGCGGACGGGUGAGUAACACGCGGAUAACCUACCUAUAAGACUGGGAUAACUUCGGGAAACCGGAGCUAAUACCGGAUAAUAUUUUGAACCGCAUGGUUCAAAAGUGAAAGACGGUCUUGCUGUCACUUAUAGAUGGAUCCGCGCUGCAUUAGCUAGUUGGUAAGGUAACGGCUUACCAAGGCAACGAUGCAUAGCCGACCUGAGAGGGUGAUCGGCCACACUGGAACUGAGACACGGUCCAGACUCCUACGGGAGGCAGCAGUAGGGAAUCUUCCGCAAUGGGCGAAAGCCUGACGGAGCAACGCCGCGUGAGUGAUGAAGGUCUUCGGAUCGUAAAACUCUGUUAUUAGGGAAGAACAUAUGUGUAAGUAACUGUGCACAUCUUGACGGUACCUAAUCAGAAAGCCACGGCUAACUACGUGCCAGCAGCCGCGGUAAUACGUAGGUGGCAAGCGUUAUCCGGAAUUAUUGGGCGUAAAGCGCGCGUAGGCGGUUUUUUAAGUCUGAUGUGAAAGCCCACGGCUCAACCGUGGAGGGUCAUUGGAAACUGGAGAACUUGAGUGCAGAAGAGGAAAGUGGAAUUCCAUGUGUAGCGGUGAAAUGCGCAGAGAUAUGGAGGAACACCAGUGGCGAAGGCGACUUUCUGGUCUGUAACUGACGCUGAUGUGCGAAAGCGUGGGGAUCAAACAGGAUUAGAUACCCUGGUAGUCCACGCCGUAAACGAUGAGUGCUAAGUGUUAGGGGGUUUCCGCCCCUUAGUGCUGCAGCUAACGCAUUAAGCACUCCGCCUGGGGAGUACGACCGCAAGGUUGAAACUCAAAGGAAUUGACGGGGACCCGCACAAGCGGUGGAGCAUGUGGUUUAAUUCGAAGCAACGCGAAGAACCUUACCAAAUCUUGACAUCCUUUGACAACUCUAGAGAUAGAGCUUUCCCCUUCGGGGGACAAAGUGACAAGUGGUGCAUGGUUGUCGUCAGCUCGUGUCGUGAGAUGUUGGGUUAAGUCCCGCAACGAGCGCAACCCUUAAGCUUAGUUGCCAUCAUUAAGUUGGGCACUCUAAGUUGACUGCCGGUGACAAACCGGAGGAAGGUGGGGAUGACGUCAAAUCAUCAUGCCCCUUAUGAUUUGGGCUACACACGUGCUACAAUGGACAAUACAAAGGGCAGCGAAACCGUGAGGUCAAGCUAAUCCCAUAAAGUUGUUCUCAGUUCGGAUUGUAGUCUGCAACUCGACUACAUGAAGCUGGAAUCGCUAGUAAUCGUAGAUCAGCAUGCUACGGUGAAUACGUUCCCGGGUCU
rnacentral:rRNA from 1 species